AUGGUUGUUCUUAUUUGGUGGAGCAAUUUGUCUCGUUAAUUAUGUUAAUGAAUGAGACCUCAUCCUGCUAACUAGCUACAUAGAGCUUCCCCUUCAUGACGAACUUCUUAGAGGGGCUAUGGUCAUUUAAUCCAUGGAAGUUUAAGGCAAUAAUAGGUCUUUGA
rnacentral:ncRNA from 1 species